CUCUUCAAGGACUCGAAGCCAAUUCACAAUUGUUGCACUCCCAUACCCAGUCUAUUGCUAAAUUAGAAACCCAGCUAGGGCAGUUAGCGAGUGCACUAAAUAAAAGAGAGGAAGGCAAGCUUCCAAGCCAACCAGUGAGUAACCCGAGAGGGCAAUACAUGGCUCAAGAGACUCAACCGAAUGAUGUUCACCAUGAACAAGCCAAUGCCAUGACCACCUUAAGAAACGGACGCA
rnacentral:lncRNA from 1 species